rnacentral:rRNA from 1 species
CAGCCGCCGCGGGAAUACGAAGGGGGCUAGCGUUGUUCGGAAUUACUGGGCGUAAAGCGCACGUAGGCGGAUAUUUAAGUCAGGGGUGAAAUCCCGCAGCUCAACUGCGGAACUGCCUUUGAUACUGGGUAUCUUGAGUAUGGAAGAGGUUAGUGGAAUUGCGAGUGUAGAGGUGAAAUUCGUAGAUAUUCGCAGGAACACCAGUGGCGAAGGCGGCUAACUGGUCCAUAACUGACGCUGAGGUGCGAAAGCGUGGGGAGCAAACAGGAUUAGAGACCCCUGUAGUCCCUGUCUCUUAUAC